CAAACUGCUUUUAGUUCAGGGGCCACAUUCACCCCAGUAUGAUCUCAGGUGGGCCAGACCAGUAAAAGAAUCACAGUGAAAAAAGAAAAACGACAUUGUGAUAAUGUUUACAGUGUUUCCAUAAAAAUCUGAACAACUUGAACAACUUGAAAUGUCUCAAGAAAAACAAGUGCAAUUUCAACAAUAUUCUACCU